UACGUAGGGUGCGAGCGUUGUCCGGAAUUAUUGGGCGUAAAGGGCUCGUAGGUGGCCAACUAAGUCAGACGUGAAAUCCCUCGGCUUAACCGGGGAACUGCGUCUGAUACUGGAUGGCUUGAGUUCGGGAGAGGGAUGCGGAAUUCCAGGUGUAGCGGUGAAAUGCGUAGAUAUCUGGAGGAACACCGGUGGCGAAGGCGGCAUCCUGGACCGACACUGACACUGAGGAGCGAAAGCCAGGGGAGCAAACAGG
rnacentral:rRNA from 1 species